rnacentral:rRNA from 1 species
UACGUAGGGUGCGAGCGUUAAUCGGAAUUACUGGGCGUAAAGCGUGCGCAGGCGGUUAUGUAAGACAGGUGUGAAAUCCCCGGGCUCAACCUGGGAACUGCAUUUGUGACUGCAUAGCUAGAGUACGGUAGAGGGGGAUGGAAUUCCGCGUGUAGCAGUGAAAUGCGUAGAUAUGCGGAGGAACACCGAUGGCGAAGGCAAUCCCCCUGGACCUGUACUGACGCUCAUGCACGAAAGCGUGGGGAGCAAACGAGG